rnacentral:misc_RNA from 1 species
CUUCCGGGCUUCGGCCUGGUUAUUCAUAACCCUUUGUUGUCCGACUCUGUUGCCUCCGGGGCGACCCUGCCUUCGGGCGGGGGCUCCGGGUGGACACUUCAAACUCUUGCGUAACUUUGCAGUCUGAGUAAACUUAAUUAAUAAAUUAAAACUUUUAACAACGGAUCUCUUGGUUCUGGCAUCGAUGAAGAACGCAGCGAAAUGCGAUAAGUAAUGUGAAUUGCAGAAUUCAGUGAAUCAUCGAAUCUUUGAACGCACAUUGCGCCCCCUGGUAUUCCGGGGGGCAUGCCUGUUCGAGCGUCAUUUCACCACUCAAGCCUCGCUUGGUAUUGGGCAACGCGGUCCGCCGCGUGCCUCAAAUCGUCCGGCUGGGUCUUCUGUCCCCUAAGCGUUGUGGAAACUAUUCGCUAAAGGGUGUUCGGGAGGCUACGCCGUAAAACAACCCCAUUUCUAAGGUUGACCUCGGAUCAGGUAGGGAUA